GAUGAAGAACGUAGUGAAAUGCGAUAAGUAAUGUGAAUUGCAGAAUUCAGUGAAUCAUCGAAUCUUUGAACGCACCUUGCGCCCUUUGGCUAUUCUGAAGGGCAUGCCUGUUUGAGUAUCAUGAACACCUCAACUCUCAUGGUUUGCCAUGAUGAGCUUGGACUUUGGGGGUCUUGCUGGCCUACGGUCGGCUCCUCUCAAAUGAAUCAGCUUGCCAGUGUUUGGUGGCAUCACGGGUGUGAUAACUAUCUACGCUUGUGGUUUCCCGCCAGGUAACCUUCAGUGAUGGAGGUUCGCUGGGGCUCAUAAAUGUCCCUCCACAGUGAGGACAGCUUUUGAACGUUUGAUCUCAAAUCAGGUAGGACUACCCGCUGAACUUAAGCAUAUCAAUAAGCGGAGGA
rnacentral:misc_RNA from 1 species